GCAUCUUCAAAUAAAGGAGUCCGAUACUAAUUCGAAAGGAUCCAAUAAUUUCUCUUGUCUUCUUUAAAUUGGUCCAUAACAAGGAAAAAGAACCCUCACUUAAUAAAAUAAUUACUUGGCCAAACACAAAAAUUAAAAGUGAAACCAUACAAAACAAAACAAAAUAAAACAAAAGAGUGCGCCUCCUUCCUCAACUCACACUCCCCCUCUCUCCCCCGUCGUUCCUCUCGGCCAGUCGUGGCGUCGCCGGCGAGCAACGUCGGUCGUGCUCUACCCCUCUCUCGGUUCUCAACUCUCUCUUCCAUCAAAACCCAGUUCACUUCCUAUCUUUCUCUCUCUCCGCCACGCCGUCCGCCAUCACCAACGUCGCCGCUGUCCUAAAAAAUCAGGUACGUUUUCUUUACUUCACAUACCACUUCAUACUUUAACACACGUUUGAACCCACACACAAACUAAUAUUCUCCUUCAUUCUUGGUCAAAAACUUGAGUCGGGCUGCCGUUGGCUUCCCGGCGUGCUCGAGACCAGCCGCCGUCGGCACAACGGCUGUAGGGCAGUGGAGGCAGGGGUUCGUCGUGGCGGAGAAAGGUGCAUGGGUUUACAUGGUAAAGAGAAUAUUAUAGGGAAGAAAGGUGCAUGGGUUUACAUGGUUAAAACUUGAUUCAUAUGUGGAGGUGUAACAUCCAAAGGUUAUGGACUUUUCGAGGCAAGUUGGCUAAUCAAUCAUUCACAAUAUCAUAAAUGACAAGAAUAUUACAUCUUGUCGCUUAAAAAAACGUAUCGGGGUUCAAGGCGUGACUAUUCAGCAAGAUUCGAAGAGCAUGGGGAAUAUUUUUAUUUUUAUUUUUACUCUAAUGUUUAACUCGAUGUAGAACGUGUACGAACUGUUAUUUGAAGCCCGGUCUUAAAAAACGGACAAUAAGAAUAUUAAA